rnacentral:rRNA from 1 species
UACGUAGGGUGCAAGCGUUGUCCGGAAUUAUUGGGCGUAAAGAGCUCGUAGGCGGUUCGUCGCGUCGGCUGUGAAAACCUGAGGCUCAACCCUGGGCCUGCAUUCGAUACGGGCAGACUAGAGUAUGGCAGGGGAGACUGGAAUUCCUGGUGUAGCGGUGAAAUGCGCAGAUAUCAGGAGGAACACCGGUGGCGAAGGCGGGUCUCUGGGCCAAAACUGACGCUGGAGGAGCGAAAGCGCGGGGAGCGAACGGG